rnacentral:misc_RNA from 1 species
GAAGUGCGAUAAGCAGUGCGAAUUGCAGAACCGUGAGUCAUCAGAUUUUUGAACGCAACUGGCGCUAGAUGGUUCUCCAUCUAGCAUGUUUGUUUCAGUGUCUCGUUUUCUCCUCACCCAAAUCUUAAUGCUGGAGAUGCCCUUCUCUUGCUAAGAUCGAAAGCACUCUACACUCUGCAGGCAGCCUCGCUCGUCGAGGGUUGCACUCAAUGCAGCAGUCACAUUCUAUGUGAACUCAUUGAGAGUAGAGGUAGUGCAGUUCACUGCCAGUGCUUAGCCAACCAAACUCUACUUGUAUCUGAAAUCAAGCAGGAUAACCCGCUGAACUUAA